rnacentral:rRNA from 1 species
AGCUAUGGCCAUACCACCCUGAACGCACCCGGUCUCAUCUGAUCUUGGAAGCUAAACAGGGUCGGGCCUGGUUAGUACUUGGAUGGGAGAAAUAAAGUAAUAAUAUCAG